rnacentral:rRNA from 1 species
UACGUAGGGGGCGAGCGUUGUCCGGAAUUAUUGGGCGUAAAGCGCGCGCAGGCGGUUCUUUAAGUCUUGUGUUUAAGCCCGGGGCUCAACCCCGGUACGCAUGGGAAACUGGGGAACUGGAGUGCAGGAGAGGGAAGCGGAAUUCCACGUGUAGCGGUGAAAUGCGUAGAGAUGUGGAGGAACACCAGUGGCGAAGGCGGCUUCCUGGCCUGUAACUGACGCUGAGGCGCGAAAGCGUGGGGAGCAAACAGG